rnacentral:rRNA from 1 species
AUUGAACGCUGGCGGCAGGCUUAACACAUGCAAGUCGAGCGGGGGAAGGUAGCUUGCUACCGGACCUAGCGGCGGACGGGUGAGUAAUGCUUAGGAAUCUGCCUAUUAGUGGGGGACAACAUCUCGAGAGGGAUGCUAAUACCGCAUACGUCCUACGGGAGAAAGCAGGGGAUCUUCGGACCUUGCGCUAAUAGAUGAGCCUAAGUCGGAUUAGCUAGUUGGUGGGGUAAAGGCCUACCAAGGCGACGAUCUGUAGCGGGUCUGAGAGGAUGAUCCGCCACGCUGGGGCUGAGACACGGCCCGGACUCCUACGGGAGGCAGCAGUGGGGAAUAUUGGACAAUGGGGGGAACCCUGAUCCAGCCAUGCCGCGUGUGUGAAGAAGGCCUUAUGGUUGUAAAGCACUUUAAGCGAGGAGGAGGCUCUUUUGGUAAAUACCCAAGAUGAGUGGACGUUACUCGCAGAAUAAGCACCGGCUAACUCUGUGCCAGCCGCCGCAGUAA